UUUCUUUUGUUUUCUUUGUUUUGUUUUCAGUUUUUCUCUGUUUUGGUUUUUGUUUGCUUUCUUAAAAAAAUAUGCAUGCUUUUUCCUUUGUUUUUUGAGUUACGAUUAUGAGUAUCUUUCUUAGUUCUCUUGACUAAAAGUCUUGUGGUGUGAUGUAAAACUUUUACUGUGCAUUUUUAGUAUGAUAGGUAGGACUAAA
rnacentral:lncRNA from 1 species